AAGCUUACCAAGGGAUAUCAAACUCCGAAUGCCGCAUAAAUGAUGUACGGGAGUCAGACUGCACGAGAUAAGUUGGGCAGUCAAAAGGGAAAGAGCCCAGACCUGCAGCUAAGGUCCCAAAGUGCGUGUUAAGUGGAAAAGGAUGUGGGAUUUCAAAGACAACCAGGAUGUUGGCUCAGAAGCAGCCACACAUUCAAAGAGUGCGUAAUAGCUCACUGGUCGAGAGGUCCUGCGCCGAAAAUGUCCGGGGCUGAAACGCGCCACCGAAACUAAGGAAUGUAGUGAUACAUUGGUAGAGGAGCAUUGCAUGCGGGGCGAAGCAGUACCGUAAGGAGCUGUGGACUGCAUGGAAGAGAGAAUGCCGGAAUGAGUAGCGAGAUAGAGGUGGGAAUCCUCUAGGCCGAAUAUCCAAGGUUUCCAGGGUAAAGCUGAUCUGCCCUGGGUAAGUCGGGGCCUAAGGCGAGGACGAGAGUCGUAGCCGAUGGACAACAGGUGGAGAUUCCUGUACUGCGGUAUGACAGAACUGUGGGGACACGUGCAGAGAGCGGAAGCCGGGAACGGAAAGCCCGGUGCAAGUGAGGUACCAGUCACAUUGGCAAAUCCGUGUGGCAAUGGGAAGACACGAUGCGGACCGAAUUAAAGUAGGGAAGUCCGUGAGCUGUGCGUCAAGAAAAGCCGCUAUUGUUUAUACCGUACCCGUACCGUAAACCGACACAGGUGGAUGAGGAGAGAAUCCUAAGGCCGGCGGGAGAAGCAUUGUUAAGGAACUCGGCAAAAUGACCCCGUAACUUCGGGAGAAGGGGUGCCACAGAGAUGUGGCCGCAGAGAAUAGGCUCAAGCAACUGUUUAGCAAAAACACAGGUCUAUGCAAAACCGAAAGGUGAGGUAUAUGGGCUGACGCCUGCCCGGUGCUGGAAGGUUAAGAGGAGAGGUUAGCGCAAGCGAAGCUUUGAAUUGAAGCCCCAGUAAACGGCGGCCGUAACUAUAACGGUCCUAAGGUAGCGAAAUUCCUUGUCGGGUAAGUUCCGACCCGCACGAAAGGCGUAAUGAUUUGAGCGCUGUCUCGACAAUGCAUCCGGUGAAAUUGAAGUACCAGUGAAGAUGCUGGUUACCUGCGCCAGGACGGAAAGACCCCAUGGAGCUUUACUCCAGCUUGAUACUGGGAUUCGGUAUUGCAUGUACAGGAUAGGUGGGAGGCUAAGAAGCAUGGACGCCAGUCUAUGUGGAGCCAAUGUUGGGAUACCACCCUUGCGAUAUUGGGUUUCUAACCUGCAGCCGUGACCCGGCUGGGGGACAAUGUCAGGUGGGGAGUUUGACUGGGGCGGUCGCCUCCGAAAGGGUAUCGGAGGCGCUCAAAGGUUCCCUCAGAAUGGUUGGAAACCAUUCGAAGAGUGCAAAGGCAGAAGGGAGCUUGACUGCGACACCGACGGGUGGAGCAGGUACGAAAGUAGGACUUAGUGAUCCGGUGGUAUGAAAGUGGGAUUGCCAUCGCUCAACGGAUAAAAGCUACCCUGGGGAUAACAGGCUUAUCACUCCCAAGAGUUCACAUCGACGGAGUGGUUUGGCACCUCGAUGUCGGCUCAUCGCAUCCUGGGGCUGAAGUAGGUCCCAAGGGUUGGGCUGUUCGCCCAUUAAAGCGGUACGCGAGCUGGGUUCAGAACGUCGUGAGACAGUUCGGUCCCUAUCCGGCGCGGGCGUAGGAUAUUUGAGAGGAGCUGUCCUUAGUACGAGAGGACCGGGAUGGACUGACCUCUGGUGUAUCUGUUGGGUAUCAAACCCAUGGCAGAGUAGCCAAGUCGGGACGGGAUAAACGCUGAAGGCAUCUAAGCGUGAAGCCCCCCUCAAGAUGAGAUAUCCCAUCGCAAGAGUAAGACCCCUUGA
rnacentral:rRNA from 1 species